rnacentral:rRNA from 1 species
AUUGAACGCUGGCGGCAGGCCUAACACAUGCAAGUCGAACGAGUGGCGGACGGGUGAGUAAUGCUUGGGAAUCUAGCUUAUGGAGGGGGAUAACUACGGGAAACUGUAGCUAAUACCGCGUACCAUAGGAUGAGCCCAAGUGGGAUUAGGUAGUUGGUGAGGUAAAGGCCUACCAAGGCGACGAUCCGUAACUGGUCUGAGAGGAUGAUCAGGCACACUGGAACUGAGACACGGGCCAGACUCCGACGGGAGGAAGCAGUGGGGAAGAUUGGACAAUGGGCGAAAGCCUGAGCCAGCCAUCCCGCGUGUGCGAUGAAGGCCUUCGGGUUGUAAAGCACUUGUGGCAGGAAAGCGGUACCUGCAGAAUAAGCACCGGCUAACUACGUGCCAGCAGCCGCGGUAAUAC